rnacentral:rRNA from 1 species
UACAGAGGGGGCGAGCGUUAUUCGGAAUUACUGGGCGUAAAGCGCGUGUAGGCGGCUUGGCAAGUCGGGUGUGAAAGCCCCGGGCUCAACCUGGGAAGUGCACUCGAAACUGCUUGGCUUGAGUACUGGAGAGGGAAGCGGAAUUCUCGGUGUAGAGGUGAAAUUCGUAGAUAUCGAGAGGAACACCGGUGGCGAAGGCGGCUUCCUGGACAGUUACUGACGCUGAGACGCGAAAGCGUGGGGAGCAAACAGG